rnacentral:rRNA from 1 species
AGUAGGGCGGGACACGUGUUAUCCUGUCUGAAUAUGGGGGGACCAUCCUCCAAGGCUAAAUACUCCUGACUGACCGAUAGUGAACCAGUACCGUGAGGGAAAGGCGAAAAGAACCCCUGUGAGGGGAGUGAAAUAGAACCUGAAACCGUGUACGUACAAGCAGUAGGAGCACCUUCGUGGUGUGACUGCGUACCUUUUGUAUAAUGGGUCAGCGACUUAUAUUCAGUGGCAAGGUUAACCAUCUAGGGGAGCCGUAGGGAAACCGAGUCUUAACUGGGCGCCAUAGUCUCUGGAUAUAGACCCGAAACCGAGUGAUCUAGCCAUGGGCAGGUUGAAGGUUGAGUAACAUCAACUGGAGGACCGAACCGACUAAUGUUGAAAAAUUAGCGGAUGACUUGUGGCUAGGGGUGAAAGGCCAAUCAAACUCGGAGAUAGCUGGUUCUCCCCGAAAGCUAUUUAGGUAGCGCCUCGGACGAAUACUACUGGGGGUAGAGCACUGUUAAGGCUAGGGGGUCAUCCCGACUUACCAACCCUUUGCAAACUCCGAAUACCAGUAAGUACUAUCCGGGAGACACACGGCGGGUGCUAACGUCCGUCGUGGAGAGGGAAACAACCCAGACCGCCAGCUAAGGUCCCAAAUUACAGCUAAGUGGGAAACGAUGUGGGAAGGCUUAGACAGCUAGGAUGUUGGCUUAGAAGCAGCCAUCAUUUAAAGAAAGCGUAAUAGCUCACUAGUCGAGUCGGCCUGCGCGGAAGAUGUAACGGGGCUAAGUUGUAAA